UAGGGAAUCUUCGGCAAUGGACGAAAGUCUGACCGAGCAACGCCGCCUGAGUGAAGAAGGUUUUCGGAUCGUAAAACUCUGUUGUUAGAGAAGAACAAGGACGUUAGUAACUGAACGUCCCCUGACGGUAUCUAACCAGAAAGCCACGGCUAACUACGUGCCAGCAGCCGCGGUAAUACGUAGGUGGCAAGCGUUGUCCGGAUUUAUUGGGCGUAAAGCGAGCGCAGGCGGUUUCUUAAGUCUGAUGUGAAAGCCCCCGGCUCAACCGGGGAGGGUCAUUGGAAACUGGGAGACUUGAGUGCAGAAGAGGAGAGUGGAAUUCCAUGUGUAGCGGUGAAAUGCGUAGAUAUAUGGAGGAACACCAGUGGCGAAGGCGGCUCUCUGGUCUGUAACUGACGCUGAGGCUCGAAAGCGUGGGGAGCAAACAGG
rnacentral:rRNA from 1 species